GUGGACCCCCACACUGGCACUGAGACACGGGCCAGACUCCUACGGGAGGCAGCAGUGAGGAAUAUUGCGCAAUGGGCGAAAGCCUGACGCAGCGACGCCGCGUGGGCGAAGAAGGUUUUCGGAUCGUAAAGCCCUUUUCUAUGUGACGAGAGAUAGGACGGUAGCAUAGGAAUAAGUCUCGGCUAACUACGUGCCAGCAGCCGCGGUAAAACGUAGGAGGCAAGCGUUAUCCGGAGUUACUGGGCGUAAAGCGCGUGUAGGCGGCGGCGUAGGUCAGAUGUGAAAGCUCCCAGGCUAAACCGGGAGAGGUCAUUUGAAACCGCGUGGCUAGAGUGCGGCAGAGGGGCAUGGAAUUCCGGGUGUAGUGGUGAAAUGCGUAGAUAUCCGGAGGAACACCAGUGGCGAAGGCGGUGCCCUGGGCCGCAACUGACGCUGAGACGCGAAAGCAUGGGCAGCGAACGGGAUUAGAAACCCCGGUAGUCCAUGCCGUAAACGAUGCACACUGGGUGUUCGUGGCGGGAAACCGCUGGGAGUGCCGAAGUCAACACGGUAAGUGUGCCGCCUGGGGAGUACGGUCGCAAGGCUAAAACUCAAAGGAAUUGACGGGGGCCCGCACAAGCAGCGGAGCGUGUGGUUUAAUUCGAAGAUACGCGAAGAACCUUACCAGGGCUUGACAUCCCGCAGAUUGCUUGGAAACAAGUGAGGCUCUACGGAGUGCGGAGACAGGUGCUGCAUGGCUGUCGUCAGCUCGUGCCGUGAGGUGUUCGGUUAAGUCCGCAAACGAGCGCAACCCUCGGCGUUAGUUACAAGUGUCUAGCGCGACUGCCCGUGAGAAACGGGAGGAAGGUGGGGAUGACGUCAAGUCAGCAUGGCCUUUAUGUUCUGGGCGAUACGCACGCUACAAUGGCGCGUACAAUGGGCCGCGAAGCCGCGAGGUGGAGCCAAUCUCGAAAGCGCGUCGUAGUUCGGAUUGCAGGCUGCAACUCGCCUGCAUGAAGUCGGAGUUGCUAGUAACCGUGGAUCAGCCACGCUACGGUGAAUACGUUCCCGGGCAUUGUACACACCGCCCGUCACGUCAUGGGAGCUGGUCACGCCUGAAGCCGGUGGCCAACCGCAAGGGGCAGCCGUCGAGGGCAGG
rnacentral:rRNA from 1 species